ensembl:lncRNA
AGCUGUGGGGGAACUAAUGAUUGGUUUGGUCGUUGCAGCAGGGGGUUCAAAUUGAUUGACGGACGUAGCUCCAGUAUACUCCUGAACACUCCUGGACAGGUACGCGCUGUGCAGCACGUGAAACACUGGUAAGCUUUAGAUUUUGUAUUAAUAUUGUUUCUUCUUUUAAGACCAGUGUUCUGUGGCUGCAGGGCAGAGUCUGCUGACGGUGUCUCUGCUUAUCGGCGGCGUCAUGCGCGUGUAGCGUCGGACAGCCGAGUGUUGCCUUGUCUUUUUGCUUGUUUAUUUUGUUGUUUCUUUCUUUAGUUUGUAGUUGUUUUGCCUAGUUUUGUAUCAGUUUGCUUGGUUCGAGUUUAGUUUUGUUUUCUCCCCGUGUGUGUUUAUCUUUAGGUUGUCGUGGCUGGUUCUCUGGCUCAGUACUCAGGUUUCUCCCCUCCAUAGCUGCGUAGGGCCUGUGUGACCUCCAGUUUUAAUAACUGCAUUUAUAUUAACAUUAGUGUGUGUGUGCUGAACAUAUUUUUGUACCAG